CUCGUCCACCAUGGCUGCAGUAUGCAAGGUCGACCCGGCCUUAUGUAUGUUCUUGUUGACGUGCACCUGGCACUGUUCAUUGAUCCGCAACUAGCCUAGCUGAUCUCGCAGCGAAACAUGCUUCAAUUUGCGUGGAGUCCUUCCCAAAUCAACAUACACACAUUAGCCUGGCUGGUGGCCCCUUCUGUCAGUCUCCACCGGCGCCACCUCAGCCUUCCUGCCUUGUCAGCGCCCUGUCAGCAUCUCCCUGGCCCGCUGGUCAGCCUCUUGGGCUAUCUCCUCUUCGGUAUAAACUGU